CCUACGAGUGGCAGCAGUGAGGAAUAUUGGACAAUGGGCGAGAGCCUGAACCAGCGAAGUCGCGUGAAGGAUGACGGCCCUACGGGUUGUAAGCUUCUUUUGUCAGGGAGCAAUUGGGUCCACGCGUGGGCUUAGCGCGAGUAACUGAAGAAAAAGCAUCGGCUAACUCCGUGCCAGCAGCCGCGGUAAGACGGAGGAUGCGGGCGGUAUGCGGAUUUAAUGGGUUUAAAGGGUGCGUGGGCGGAAUAUCAGGUCAGCGGUAAAAAUUCGGGGCUCAACCCCGUCGUGCCGUUGAAACUGGUGUUCUUGAGUGGGCGAGAAGUAUGCGGAAUGCGUGGUGUAGCGGUGAAAUGCAGAGAUAUCACGCAGAACUCCGAUUGCGAAGGCAGCAUACCGGCGCCCAACUGACGCUGAGGCACGAAAGCGUGGGUAUCGAACAGGAUUAGAUACCCCUGUAGUC
rnacentral:rRNA from 1 species